AGACAGCAGUAGCCACGGUAAUACGGAGGGAGCUAGCGUUGUUCGGAAUUACUGGGCGUAAAGCGCGCGUAGGCGGUUACUCAAGUCAGAGGUGAAAGCCCGGGGCUCAACCCCGGAACUGCCUUUGAAACUAGGUGACUAGAAUCUUGGAGAGGUCAGUGGAAUUCCGAGUGUAGAGGUGAAAUUCGUAGAUAUUCGGAAGAACACCAGUGGCGAAGGCGACUGACUGGACAAGUAUUGACGCUGAGGUGCGAAAGCGUGGGGAGCAAACAGGAUUAGAUACCCGCGUAGUCCCUGUCUCUUAUAC
rnacentral:rRNA from 1 species